rnacentral:lncRNA from 1 species
UCAGAUAGUCUUUAUCGCCAAAUAAAGACUCACACUUUACAGACUCCACACUUUACAGACUCCACACUUUACAGACUCGCACUUUACAGACUCGCACUUUACAGACUCGCACUUUACAGACUCCACACUUUACAACUCACACUUUACAGACUCCACACUUUACAGACUCUCACACUUUACAGACUCUACACUUUACAGACUCUACACUUUACAGACUCACACUUUACAGACUCUACACUUUACAGACUCUACACUUUACAGACUCUACACUUUAAGACUCCACUUUACAGACUCUACACUUUACAGACUCUACACUUUACAGACUCUACACUUUACAGACUCUACACUUUACAGACUCUACACUUUACAGACUCACACUUUACAGACUCCACACUUUACAGACUCUACACUUACAGACUCUACACUUUACAGACUCCAACUUUACAGACUCACACUUUACAGACUCCACACUUUACAGACUCGCACUUUACAGACUCUACACUUUACAGACCCACACUUUACAGACUCUACACUUUACAGACUCACACUUUACAGACUCCACACUUUACAGACUCCACACUUUACAGACUCUACACUUUACAGACUCUACACUUUACAGACUCCACACCUUUACAGACUCUACACUUUACAGACUCGCACUUUACAGACUCACACUUUACAGACUCUACACUUUACAGACUCUACACUUACAGACUCCACACUUUACAGACUCCACACUUACAGACUCCACUUUACAGACUCUACACUUUACAGACUCCACACUUUACAGACUCCACACUUUACAGACUCUACACUUUACAGACUCUACACUUUACAGACUCCACUUUACAGACUCUACACUUUACAGACUCCUACACUUUACAGACUCCACACUUUAAGACCUACUUUACAGACUCACACUUUACAGACUCCACACUUUACAGACUCCACACUUUACAGACUCUACACUUUACAGACUCUACACUUUACAGACUCCACACUUUACAGAUCUACACUUUACAGACUCGCACUUUACAGACUCACACUUUACAGACUCUACACUUUACAGACUCUACACUUUACAGACUCCACACUUUACAGACUCCACACUUUACAGACUCCACACUUUACAGACUCCACACUUUACAGACUCACACUUUACAGACUCUACACUUUACAGACUCUACCACUUUACAGACUCCACACUUUAAGACUCCGCACUUUACAGACUCCGCACUUUACAGACUCCACACUUUACAGACUCUACACUUUACAGACUCCACACUUUACAGACUCCACACUUUACAGACUCAC